UACGUAGGUGGCGAGCGUUGUCCGGAUUUACUGGGCGUAAAGAGCGCGCAGGCGGCUGGUCAAGUCCGAUGUGAAAGCUCCCGGCUUAACUGGGAAAUUGCAUCGGAAACUGAUCGGCUGGAAGGUGGGAGAGGGUAGCGGAAUUCCCGGUGUAGAGGUGAAAUUCGUAGAUAUCGGGAGGAACACCAGUGGCGAAGGCGGCGAUCUGGGAAGAUACUGACGCUGAGGUGCGAAAGCGUGGGGAGCAAACAGG
rnacentral:rRNA from 1 species